UCUGGAGACAGGUGCUGCAUGGCUGUCGUCAGCUCGUGUCGUGAGAUGUUGGGUUAAGUCCCGCAACGAGCGCAACCCUUGCCCUUUAGUUGCCAGCAGUUCGGCUGGGCACUCUAAAGGGACUGCCGGUGUUAAACCGGAGGAAGGUGGGGAUGACGUCAAGUCCUCAUGGCCUUUAUGACCAGGGCUACACACGUACUACAAUGGCCGAUACAAAGGGCAGCGACACUGCGAGGUGAAGCCAAUCCCGUAAAAUCGGUACUCAGUCCGGAUUGGAGUCUGCAACUCGACUCCAUGAAGUUGGAAUCGCUAGUAAUCGUGGAUCAGCAUGCCACGGUGAAUACGUUCCCGGGCCUU
rnacentral:rRNA from 1 species